UGCUGUCUCUGGCUUCGGUUGGAGAACUCUGGGACUCUCCUCCGGGACUCUCACUAUGGGUUUCGGAGGUCAGGAUCCCGAGAGCUGUCUGGACCGUUUAGCCUCAGAUCCUGCCUUUUCUCCACUUCCCUCCCUUGUAACUGGACUUUCUCCCGGGCCCCAGUCACUGCUGCCAGACAGUCCUCCUCACACAGCUGGGAUCGUGGUCGUCUCUUCUUUGUUUCCUGAAACAAGACACCCCUCCCUCCACCCCUCCUUCCUCACCCAAUCCGCCAACACCAGGUGAGCACCUGACCGUGCUAGGCGUCCUCCAAGCCAACGAGGUCAGCUCACCCGCCUGCCUGCCUGCCGUGCGGCCUUGGAGCCCCAGGGCCACCGCGCCCUCACCGCCCCCACUGCCUGCUGUGUGACCACAGGCAGGUUGUUAGAAAGAUCGAGGAUGGCGUGUGCCCAGCAGCUGGCCCACAGCGAAUCCUGGUCAGAAUGAAUGUCUCCUUUCUCUGCCCUAAGACGCUGACAGGCUGACCACAGAAGCACAUGGGAGAAAAACUCCUCUGCCCGGAAAGCCCUUCUGUUCUGACUGGGAGGCCUGAGAAGCUUCUUUGCAGAGGGCAGUGGACAGCAGGGGGGCCAGUGUGGAGGAGGCGAGGGCGUUCCAGGGACAGAAUGACAAGCAGGGAGCUGAGAGGCAUCCAAUCCUGCCUGUUCCUCGAGGUGCAGCCCUGAAGCCACCUGAAGUUCCUGUGGGUCGAGGGCUCCCUGUCAGCUGGGGCUCACUCUCUGCUGUUCUGUGGACUGCAUGUGUGUUCCUCCAUCACCUGAUGGCGGCAUCCUCGCGGGCAGAAAUCCACACCUGCUCCCCACAGGCCACACAGGGGCUCGUUCACGGUAUUACUCGGAGUGUGAUCUGCUGAAGGAAGGUGUGAGCGAACCGAGAAGGGAAUGCAUGAACGGUGUGAGUGUUCUGCUCCCUGAGAAAGUGCAGUGAGGCUCCUGAUGAUGCUGUCCUGUCUCCUCCCUAAUUCAAGGCUAAUUCACCAAAAACCUGAAUCAAGUGUCUAAACACUUGAGAAGUCCCUGAGAGUAAGGCAAGCUUCUAGACACUGGAAAUAAUGUAUCCUCCUUUGUAAAUAAACAACUUGACUUCGAGGAUAUGUCAUGCUGGCAGAGAAUAUUCAUCCUUCUCUUUGGUAGGGCAAUCCUGCUUUAAUUACAGUAGCAAUAUACUCCACUGAAAGACUACGUUUCCCAGCCUCCCUUGCUGCUGGGGCUGGCCAAUGAAAUGUGAGCAAGUCAUA